GGGUGCAAUCACACCAGCACUAAAGCAUCGGAUCCCAUCAGAACUCUAACGUUAAGCAUACUUAGGCGAGAGUAGUACUAGGAUGGGUGAACCCCUCGGAAGUCCUAGUUUUGUACUCU
rnacentral:rRNA from 15 species